CUGGCAGCUUUGGCGGCAGCCUUGGUAGCUCUGGAGCCUCCCAAGCAGCUGUACGAGGAAGUUCACGUUCUAGCGCAAGAAGCUCCAGCUCCUCCUCUUCUUCCUCUCGCCAAUAAAUAAUGGAUGCCGCAAACCUACACAUCCCUUAAAAAGCAGAGUCUUUGGUGGCGCUUUCCCAGUGAUCUAAAAGAGCAAGAAAGACUGCCAACACUAUCUGUGGACAUUUUCCCGCCAUGUCAUUCGCAUAAUUGA